rnacentral:rRNA from 1 species
UACGUAGGGUGCGAGCGUUAAUCGGAAUUAUUGGGCGUAAAGCGUGCGUAGGCGGUUGGCAAAGUCAGCUGUGAAAGCCCCGGGCUUAACCUGGGAAUGGCGGUUGAAACUAGUCGACUCGAAUCUGGCAGAGGGGGGUGGAAUUCCACGUGUAGCAGUGAAAUGCGUAGAGAUGUGGAGGAACACCGAUGGCGAAGGCAGCCCCCUGGGCUGAGAUUGACGCUCAGGCACGAAAGCGUGGGGAGCAAACAGG